rnacentral:lncRNA from 1 species
AAAGCCAAUGAUUGAAAUGAAACAGAAAUCAAUGAUAAAAACGGGAGGAUAUGAAAAAAUAAUUCUUUUAAAAGAAGCUUAAUGUGCAAAAAAUAGAAGUGCCAUUUUUGAGAAGGAAUAAAUAUAUUAUGAAGGUUACAGGAUAAACAACACAGAAACACCCACAUUCUGAUGUCAUGGAUUGUUUCUUCUUGGGCUCAGGAUAGCCUACAGUACACAACAUCAUCACGAGAAAUAGUUUCCAUCAUCUAUCAUUCACUGCACAUCAUUGAAAACUGAAUGUCUUCCCAUCUUACUAGUUUUCCUAAAAGCAACCAUGGUGGAGAUGGAAAUUACAAUGACUAUCGAGUCCCGGAGCCAGGAAGCAGAAAGGCUGAGUUGAUUUGGAGACUGCUUCAUCUGAAAGUAGGCAUGUUGUCACCACGCUACGCUGCCUCAGAAUUUGCCUUUUAGGCAAGCUGUUUUAGACAAACACACACAGGUGACCAUCAGCUAAAACUUUUCAAAACUGAUUAAGAACUUUGUGACAAGUCUCCAC